rnacentral:snRNA from 1 species
GUGCUCGCUUCGGCAGCACAUAUACUAAAAUUGGAACGAUACGGAGAAGAUUAGCAUGGCCCCUGUGCAAGGAUGACUUGCAAAUUCGUAAAGCGUUCCAUAUUUUU